AUUGAACGCGGGUGGCAUGCUUUACACAUGCAAGUCGGACGGCAGCGGGGUAGUGCUUGCACUACUGCCGGCGAGUGGCGAACGGGUGAGUAAUAUAUUGGAACGUACCGAGUAAUGGGGGAUAACCAAUCGAAAGAUUGGCUAAUACCGCAUACGCUCUGAGGAGGAAAGCAGGGGACCUUCGGGCCUUGCGUUAUUCGAGCGGCCAAUAUCUGAUUAGCUAGUUGGUGGGGUAAGGGCCUACCAAGGCGACGAUCAGUAGCGGGUCUGAGAGGAUGAUCCGCCACACUGGGACUGAGACACGGCCCAGACUCCUACGGGAGGCAGCAGUGGGGAAUUUUGGACAAUGGGCGCAAGCCUGAUCCAGCCAUGCCGCGUGUCUGAGGAAGGCCUUCGGGUUGUAAAGGACUUUUGCUAGGGAAGAAAAAGGAGCGGUUAAUACCCGUUUCUGCUGACGGUACCUAAAGAAUAAGCACCGGCUAACUACGUG
rnacentral:rRNA from 1 species